rnacentral:ncRNA from 2 species
CUAUAAUCCCUGCGCUUUGGCGCAUCAUGCUUAAUAGGGAAUCCGGUGAAAAUCCGGAGCUGGCGCGCAGCGGUAAGGGGGAACGAAGCGACAUCAGGGCACUGCCACAGGUGGGAAGCCGUCGCCGUAGGCCAUCAGCCCCCCAGCCCGAAGACCUGCCAAAGUUCGUAUUUCGGG